UAGGGAAUAUUAGUAAUCUGGGAAACCGGGAACUAGCAACGCCGCGUGUGCGAUGAAGGCCUUCGGGUUGUAAAGCACUUUUUAAGGGAAUGAGAAAGGACGGUACCCUUAGAAUAAGUCUCGGCUAACUACGUGCCAGCAGCCGCGGUAAGACGUAGGAGACGAGCGUUAUUCGGAUUUACUGGGCGUAAAGCGCGUGCAGGCGGUUUGGUAAGUUGGAUGUGAAAGCUCUCGGCUCAACCGGGAGAGGUCGUUCAAAACUGCCAGACUAGAGAAUAGGAGAGGGAGGUGGAAUUCCGGGUGUAGUGGUGAAAUGCGUAGAUAUCCGGAGGAACACCAGUGGCGAAGGCGACCUCCUGGCCUAUUUCUGACGCUCAGACGCGAAAGCUAGGGUAGCAA
rnacentral:rRNA from 1 species